UUUUCAGAUGACGCGAGGCGAGUGGGUGUUGCUUCUGGGUUUGCUGGGGCUCCUGCAUUCGAGCUUUGGGGUGGCCGCGACGCGGACGAAUGGGGUUUCCGCCUCCGGCGACUGCGCGCUCCUCUGCGACUCGGGUCUCGUCGGCGAGCCCUGCGAGGCCUUUUGCACCAGCCGUCGGCAAUCCGCGAGUCAGUCGAAUACCGUUACGGGAAAGAGGGACGUCGCCGAUCUCGGCGUCGACGCCGCGGCGCCCGCGACCAAGAGUCAAACGGUAUGCGAUUCCCGUUGCGAUUUCGAGCCGCGGCCGACCGGAUGUUCCGGGUGCCGUGGAAGCGGGAUUUCCGGAGAGACGAUUUCUCUGCCGAUGGAAAGUCAUCGGUCGGUCGCUACGAGGCCCGGAGCACGUGGCGUCCCGGGGACCAGUGACGUCAUCGGAGAACGCGACGCCGGGAAGAACGACGCUGCUACUCCUGUUGCCGCGGGCGAUGAUUUUGACCGAGAGAAAUUCUGCAAGGAGGAAUGCAGCAGGGGAAAUGGCGGGCUCGCCUGCAACUGCGACAUCAUCCCUUAACCGAGCUUGAGGACGUCGUCGUGAUCCCUGGGCAGGGAGAUCGGAACUCGUCCUCUCGUCCUUCCAUACGUAUGAAUCACGUGUAUCGUUGACGAUCUCUCCUCGACAGUCGACUUGUGUCAAUCAUUGUGAGUAACCGAAUCAAGUACCCGGAGUGAUGCAGGCUUCGAGUCUGUUCGCCUGGAACUCGGGCACAAGAACAGCAGCUCGUAACCCAAAACCAGUGUCACAUUGCGACAGACAGAGUGCGAGAGUAAUUAAUCUUUCGAUGAAUUAAAUCAGUCUUGAUAUCCCUGAAUCCGGUUCCGAAUGGCAUCAAUAUAGCGCUGACCAUGGAUAAGCUUUAAUCUGAUCCAGAGCCAAGUGUAAUGUAAACAACGCUGAUUUUGUAAUUAUAGAAUGGAGUUAAAAUAAUAAGGCGAUUCAUGUAUAAGUGUAUAAUAAUGUUAAGCGCACCUUGUCAAAGUAUCAUAUUUAAUUGUGAAAUGGGUUGGAUGCUGAUGUGCAAUUUUACGCUAUGGCUGUUGACUAGACGCGUUUUUAAAACGGUAAUACCGUUCUUAAAUCGAUCGGUCGGAGCCAUAAAUAAUAUAUUAUAUCGUAAGUUUAAGGAUUUCUACACUGUAAGCUCAGUUCGCACGAUGAAAACCGAUUCACCGAUAUUCUCUGUCGAUUGUAUAGCUAUACCAAUGGAACCAAAAUAGACGCAGAUAUAAUGCAAUUAACUUGAAACGCUGAGGCGUCUUGGUAGACAACCACGUGUGCAAUCGUCGCAAUAGCCAUGUUUUUACUUCCGGCCGCAGCGUGCAACGCACGUUUAAAUACUUGGUCAUUGAUCGUAUGAACGCGACUUAAGUGUGCGAUAUGUGUAUUAUGCAAUAAUAUGUAAUCGAUCGCAAUACUCGAUGAUAAUAAACGAGUGUUGCGUUAUGGUAAAAUCUGUAAAUAGGCUUGAUCGGCGUGUAACGUUAAGUUCUCUGGUAGCUUUUACACAUGCGUAUAUAAAUUUAUAAACAAAAUCAUUGUCUUCCAUUGAUAGUUUACGACAUAAUUCGUAAUUUUGUAAUUAAGAUUGCUGUACUCUAGGUCAAUCCGUUCUUUCGUUACCUUUAUGAUUAACAGCAUAUCCAACAUCUCAAAUCUUCGAUCUGAGCUGUUUCGCAAAUUUUACGUAUGCAAUUGAAUUUCUUUGCUGUGUUAAAUUGUCCUAUAAAAAUAUGGUUAUUAACGAGAGUUCACCUUUCGUAAUAUCGGAAUUUUUAACGCAACAUUUCGUGAUAACGAACAU